CUGGGAGGACCAUCUCCCAACCCUAAAUACUCCCUAGUGACCGAUAGUGAACCAGUACCGUGAGGGAAAGGUGAAAAGCACCCCGGGAGGGGAGUGAAAUAGAACCUGAAACCGUGUGCCUACAACAAGUUCGAGCCCGUUAAUGGGUGAGAGCGUGCCUUUUGUAGAAUGAACCGGCGAGUUACGUUAUGAUGCGAGGUUAAGUUGAAGAGACGGAGCCGUAGGGAAACCGAGUCUGAAUAGGGCGCCUUAGUAUCAUGACGUAGACCCGAAACCAUGUGACCUACCCAUGAGCAGGUUGAAGGUGCGGUAAGACGCACUGGAGGACCGAACCAGGGCACGUUGAAAAGUGCUUGGAUGACUUGUGGGUAGCGGAGAAAUUCCAAACGAACUUGGAGAUAGCUGGUUCUCUCCGAAAUAGCUUUAGGGCUAGCGUCGACAUUAGAGAUUCUUGGAGGUAGAGCACUGUUUGGGUGAGGGGUCCAUCCCGGAUUACCAAUCUCAGAUAAACUCCGAAUGCCAAUGAAUUAUGGUCGGCAGUCAGACUGCGAGUGCUAAGAUCCGUAGUCGAAAGGGAAACAGCCCAGACCACCAGCUAAGGUCCCAAAAUAAUUGUUAAGUGGAAAAGGAUGUGGGGUUGCACAGACAACUAGGAUGUUAGCUUAGAAGCAGCUAUUCAUUCAAAGAGUGCGUAAUAGCUCACUAGUCGAGUGACCCUGCGCCGAAAAUGUACCGGGGCUAAAACAAUUUACCGAAGCUGUGGAUACCUUUAUAGGUAUGGUAGGAGAGCGUUCUAUGUGUGAUGAAGGUAUACCGUGAGGAGUGCUGGAACGCAUAGAAGUGAGAAUGCCGGUAUGAGUAGCGAAAGACAGGUGAGAAUCCUGUCCACCGUAAGACUAAGGUUUCCAGGGGAAGGCUCGUCCGCCCUGGGUUAGUCGGGACCUAAGGAGAGACCGAAAGGUGUAUCCGAUGGACAACAGGUUGAUAUUCCUGUACUAGAGUAUGUAGUGAUGGAGGGACGCAGUAGGCUAACUAAAGCAGACGAUUGGAAGAGUCUGUCUAAGCAGUGAGGUGUGAAUUGAGUCAAAUGCUUAAUUCUAUAACAUUGAGCUGUGAUGGGGAGCGAAGUUUAGUAGCGAAGUUAGUGACGUCACACUGCCAAGAAAAGCUUCUAGCGUUUAAACAUACUCUACCCGUACCGCAAACCGACACAGGUAGUCGAGGCGAGUAGCCUCAGGUGAGCGAGAGAACUCUCGUUAAGGAACUCGGCAAAAUGACCCCGUAACUUCGGGAGAAGGGGUGCUGACUUUAAGUCAGCCGCAGUGAAUAGGCCCAAGCAACUGUUUAUCAAAAACACAGCUCUCUGCUAAAUCGUAAGAUGAUGUAUAGGGGGUGACGCCUGCCCGGUGCUGGAAGGUUAAGAGGAGUGCUUAGCGUAAGCGAAGGUAUGAAUUGAAGCCCCAGUAAACGGCGGCCGUAACUAUAACGGUCCUAAGGUAGCGAAAUUCCUUGUCGGGUAAGUUCCGACCCGCACGAAAGGCGUAAUGAUUUGGGCACUGUCUCAACGAGAGACUCGGUGAAAUUUUAGUACCUGUGAAGAUGCAGGUUACCCGCGACAGGACGGAAAGACCCCAUGGAGCUUUACUGCAGUUUGAUAUUGAGUGUCUGUACCACAUGUACAGGAUAGGUAGGAGUCUAAGAGAUCGGGACGCCAGUUUCGAAGGAGACGCUGUUGGGAUACUACCCUUGUGUUAUGGCCACUCUAACCCAGAUAGGUGAUCCCUAUCGGAGACAGUGUCUGACGGGCAGUUUGACUGGGGCGGUCGCCUCCUAAAAGGUAACGGAGGCGCCCAAAGGUUCCCUCAGAAUGGUUGGAAAUCAUUCGCAGAGUGUAAAGGUAUAAGGGAGCUUGACUGCGAGAGCUACAACUCGAGCAGGGACGAAAGUCGGGCUUAGUGAUCCGGUGGUUCCGUAUGGAAGGGCCAUCGCUCAACGGAUAAAAGCUACCCUGGGGAUAACAGGCUUAUCUCCCCCAAGAGUUCACAUCGACGGGGAGGUUUGGCACCUCGAUGUCGGCUCGUCGCAUCCUGGGGCUGUAGUCGGUCCCAAGGGUUGGGCUGUUCGCCCAUUAAAGCGGCACGCGAGCUGGGUUCAGAACGUCGUGAGACAGUUCGGUCCCUAUCCGUCGCGGGCGUAGGAAAUUUGAGAGGAUCUGCUCCUAGUACGAGAGGACCAGAGUGGACUUACCGCUGGUGUACCAGUUGUCUUGCCAAAGGCAUCGCUGGGUAGCUAUGUAGGGAAGGGAUAAACGCUGAAAGCAUCUAAGUGUGAAACCCACCUCAAGAUGAGAUUUCCCAUGAUUAUAUAUCAGUAAGAGCCCUGAGAGAUGAUCAGGUAGAUAGGUUAGAAGUGGAAGUGUGGCGACACAUGUAGCGGACUAAUACUAAUAGCUCGAGGACUUAUCCAA
rnacentral:rRNA from 1 species